AAGGGGUGUUCACACACAGAGAACCGCUAACUCUCUCCACUGGAACCAAACCUUUCAGACCCCUUU
rnacentral:tRNA from 1 species